rnacentral:lncRNA from 1 species
CCCAGCUGCAGCCUUCCUCGUUGCAGGCGAGGCGGCGCAGCCCGGAAGCCGUGAGGAAGCAGGAGAGGGGGACCAGCUGUCAGACCUCAAGCCCAUCCACCCUUCCAUUCCUGGGACGGCCUUUAAGACUUCUCGCCCGAUUUUCACAGCAGCCUUACCAGAAGCCUUAUGCUCCACCGUGCGAACAACCCCACCUCCUCCGAGCUGAUGCAGUCCCCGUGCCCAUACUGCAGGAACUACACCAUUACGGUGACCUCCCCCGUCCCAGGACUGCUCACCUGGCUGCUGUGUGCCUGUCCCUUCAUGCUUGGGUGAGUGGCCUGGCCUGGGGCCCACAGAGGCCCCCCAGAGCCUGAGUGUUGGCCUGGGGGUGGGGGGGGUAGAGGGAACUUGUGCGUGACACAGGCAGGAUGGAAGAUGGGAG